UUCACGGAGAGUUUGAUCCUGGCUCAGGACGAACGCUGGCGGCGUGCUUAACACAUGCAAGUCGAACGA
rnacentral:ncRNA from 1 species